AUCUGUGUAACCUGGACAUAUACAAGUAGUCUAGGAGAAAAUCAUAAAAUAUACUUGAUACAAAAUAAGAAAGUAUCCAUACAGGAUGUGAAUUAAAAAGUCAAGUAGAUACAAAUAUAUAUCGUAAUCCCUGGGUGGUAUAGUUAUGUUACCAGUAUAUCCUUAGCAAUAGAUAGAAAUUCUGUGCUUUAUUCAGACUGGCUCUUAACGAUUCUAUAC